rnacentral:rRNA from 1 species
AGAACCUACGGGGGGCAGCAGUGGGGAAUAUUGCACAAUGGGGGGAACCCUGAUGCAGCGACGCCGCGUGAGUGAAGAAGUAUUUCGGUAUGUAAAGCUCUAUCAGCAGGGAAGAAGAUGACGGUACCUGACUAAGAAGCCCCGGCUAACUACGUGCCAGCAGCCGCGGUAAUACGUAGGGGGCAAGCGUUAUCCGGAUUUACUGGGUGUAAAGGGAGCGUAGGCGGUGCAGCAAGUCAGAAGUGAAAGCCCGGGGCUCAACUCCGGGACCGCUUUUGAAACUGUUGAACUAGAUUGCAGGAGAG